rnacentral:rRNA from 1 species
GUGGAAGUACAGUAAUGUAUGGAGCUGAAGCGUACUAAUAGUCCCAUCGCCUU